rnacentral:rRNA from 1 species
AGACGUCUACAUUAGAUACCCCCUGUAGUCCCAGCCGUAAACUAUGCGCGUUAGGUGUAUCGGUGACCACGAGUUACCGAGGUGCCGAAGGGAAACCGUGAAACGUGCCGCCUGGGAAGCACGGUCGCAAGGCUGAAACUUAAAGGAAUUGGCGGGGGAGCACCACAACAGGUGGAGCCUGCGGUUUAAUUGGACUCAACGCCGGGAAGCUCACCGGAUAGGACAGCAGAAUGAUUGCCGGGCUGAAGACCCUGCAUGACUAGCUG